GAUGAACGCUGGCGGCGUGCCUAAUACAUGCAAGUCGAGCGAACAGAUGAGAAGCUUGCUUCUCUGAUGUUAGCGGCGGACGGGUGAGUAACACGUGGGUAACCUACCUAUAAGACUGGGAUAACUCCGGGAGACCGGGGCUAAUACCGGAUAAUAUUUUGAACCGCACGGUUCAAUAGUGAAAGACGGUUUCGGCUGUCACUUAUAGAUGGACCCGCGCCGUAUUAGCUAGUUGGUAAGGUAACGGCUUACCAAGGCGACGAUACGUAGCCGACCUGAGAGGGUGAUCGGCCACACUGGAACUGAGACACGGUCCAGACUCCUACGGGAGGCAGCAGUAGGGAAUCUUCCGCAAUGGGCGAAAGCCUGACGGAGCAACGCCGCGUGAGUGAUGAAGGUCUUCGGAUCGUAAAACUCUGUUGUUAGGGAAGAACAAAUUUGUUAGUAACUGAACAAGUCUUGACGGUACCUAACCAGAAAGCCACGGCUAACUACGUGCCAGCCGCCGCGGUAA
rnacentral:rRNA from 1 species